rnacentral:rRNA from 1 species
GCAUAUCAAUAAGCGGAGGAAAAGAAACCAACAGGGAUUGCCUUAGUAACUGCGAGUGAAGCGGCAAGAGCUCAAAUUUGAAAUCUGGCACCUUCGGUGUCCGAGUUGUAAUUUGUAGAAGCAUCUUUUGAAUUGGUCCUUGCAUAUGUUCCUUGGAACAGGACAUCAUAGAGGGUGAGAAUCCCGUUCAUGGUGGGGAAACCAAUUCUUUGUAAAGUGCUUUCGAAGAGUCGAGUUGUUUGGGAAUGCAGCUCUAAGUGGGUGGUAAAUUCCAUCUAAAGCUAAAUAUUGGCGAGAGACCGAUAGCGAACAAGUACAGUGAUGGAAAGAUGAAAAGUACUCCGAAAGGAGAGUGAAAAAGGACGUGAAAUUGUUGAAAGGGAAGUGCUUGAGAUCAGUCUUAGGUUUUAGUGAUCAAUCUUCCUUUUGGUUGGUGCACUCACUAUUGCUUAGGCCAGCAUCAGUUUUAGUGACAGGAUAAUGACCUUGGAAUGUGGCUCUUUCGGGAGUGUUAUAGACUUGGUUGAUACUGUCUACUGAGACUGAGGACCGCGCUUUUAGCUAGGAUGCUGGCAUAAUGAUCUUAAGCAGCCCGUCUG